UGUAAAGUUAGAUCCUUUUAAAAACAUCAUGACAUAAGUUGGUUUAUUAAAGUCAAGGGACUAUUUGUGUAUUUACUUAAGUUAUAAAAUACCCCAAACCCUUCAUUCCCUAACCCUAGCCGACACCCCUUUUUUUCUCUGCCAUUUCUCCGGUCACCGGAGUAAUUCCGGCCGAUAUCCGGCAUGUGCAACCACCACACCAUGACCACCCUCCUCCUCCCUCUUUCACGCACUCCCACACGACCUCUCUCUUCCUCGCGGUUCUUCUCCGACAAGGAAACCGACAGAACCGGCGUGACUAGUGAACCACCAGCCACUUUCUCGCUCUCCGGCCACACCCGACAACCCCUCUCCACUCUCGCUCAUCUCUCUACUCUCAGAACUCACACACUCAUAACCUGAAGAUUUGCCGGAACUCGGAGGAGACGACCGGAGAAACCCGAGGUUACCGAGACGUUGCCGGAGCACAAGCAGGAACUAUCGAACCAUCGUUUGGAUAAUCGCUUACGCCCGUCCUCUUGAAAUUCUCCAUCCUUACUCGUGCGUUAUUUCAAGAAAUUCUUAUACGCAAUCAAUGUUGAUGAUGACGAUGCUAUGAAAAGAAGUAGCGUUGAUGCCUAGAUACACAUAUAGACGUUUAGGUUUAAUAUGUCGUAUCAAUUUUGCUUAUGUUAUCAUGUAUUUCUUUUGAAGUUGUUGUUACUUGAGUUUAUGUAAUGUUGACAAUUGAAAGUUAUGAAAUGAAAUGGGAAUUAUUUAAUUAUCGUCACAAA